rnacentral:ribozyme from 1 species
GGAAAAAAACGAUCUUGGAAAAAGCGAGAUCCAUUCAGAUAGUGGCAACAGACAUGAUGACAAGCAUGAUGAUGAUACUGAAGAUGACGAAGAGGAAAUUUUUGGUGGCUCUAAGUCUCAUGCAAUAGAACCUG